UGGGGAAUAUUAGGGCAAUGGGGGGCAACCCUGACCUAGCAACGCCGCGUGAAGAAAGAUAGAGGUAGUAACUGGCCUUUAUUUGACGGUAAUUACUUAGAAAGUCACGGCUAACUACGUGCCAGCAGCCGCGGUAAUACGUAGGUGGCAAGCGUUGUCCGGAUUUAUUGGGCGUAAAGCGAGUGCAGGCGGUUCAAUAAGUCUGAUGUGAAAGCCUUCGGCUCAACCGGAGAAUUGCAUCAGAAACUGUUGAACUUGAGUGCAGAAGAGGAGAGUGGAACUCCAUGUGUAGCGGUGGAAUGCGUAGAUAUAUGGAAGAACACCAGUGGCGAAGGCGGCUCUCUGGUCUGCAACUGACGCUGAGGCUCGAAAGCAUGGGUAGCGAACAGGAUUAGAUACCCUGGUAGU
rnacentral:rRNA from 1 species